CAUUUUUUUAUCCUUCCCGUCCAAGUACCUCUCUGUCUCUCCCUCGUCACUUUUUCUCUCAUCACCAAAUUCCAUUCUUUUCGCCACUUUCUCCCUCAUCAUAAAAUUCCAUUUUUUCUCAUUCAUUCUAAAAAAAACUUCUAGAUUUGUCAUAUGGGUUUUUUGUUUUUUGGAUUUUUCACAAGCUGAAUUUCAUAUGGGUCUCGGCAGAUCGGUAUUUUUUGUCUUCUGGGUUUUGGCUAGCAUUGUGGAGUUUGUCGACGAUGUCGUAGCGGAUGAAGGCAAUGGUCGAGCGAAGAGCGAGAUUGGGAGUUGAGGAAGCCGAGGAUCUGAGUAGAGGAGAAGUGAUGCCUUUCGACAACGAGCUCGACGAUAAAGCUGGGGGCGACACAAAUCUUUAAAGAUCUUUGGUAGAGAUGAAGCUGGGAGGAGCAAAAAGGGGAUGAUAGAGAUGAAGGGAGGGUACGUGUUUGUUCAAUAAAGUUUCACACGUUCUUGUAUAUUGCCAUUUUAGUAUGCCCGUAAAUUUCCUUUUUCUUUUGAUGUUUGGAUGCGAUUGCAGUGCAUCUGUUUGUGGGUAUUAUUUUUUUUUUCUGGGAUUUUUGUGCUUGCUGUGUUUGCAUGGCUCUUGGGUUCAUCUAACUGAUAGGUGGAAAAUUUGAGAUGAAAUGCUUCUGAGUAGGUGGUUUGAAAAUCUGUACUUUUUGUGAUGUUCAUGACUUUUUUGGAUUUCAGAGAUGACAUUUUGUGGUGAUUUAUGUUUAUGUCGUUCUGUUCGAAUCAAUAAUUUGGAUAUAAGGGUAGGAUUGCUAGAAACUUUCAUUAAGGGGUUACUGUUCAUACGUGUUUUGAGGUUUGCGCAGAAGCUGAAAAGCCAGUUUUUCAAAGCUGCCUUUUGCUGCUUCUGUUUUUUGGCUUUUUUUCACCCAAAACUGUGAAAAAAAGCUAAAGCUGGAAGUUUACCAAACACCAAAGACUCUCCCAGCUUUUUUCAUCCCAUUUUUUAAAAUCACCUCAACCCCAAACCAUACCUUAGUCUUAAGCUUUUGAUUUAAAUUUUUUUAGAAUUAUUGUAAUUUUUUUUUUUUAUCUCUGCUGCUGUUUUUGAUUUUUGAUUUUUGAUUUUUUGAUUUUUAUGCGACGUACAUCUGUGUAAGCACUCAAAUUAGUUUUUGGAGUGCAUUUUGAUCAGACCACAACAAAAGAGAAAACGGAAACAAAAUUCAGAGCCAUAAAAACAAACAAAUGCUGGUCUGUCCUAAAAAAGGUUGGUUUGUGUACUUUUGAAGAAUAUAUGGAAAAAGAGAGUAUUGAUCAUGGUGUAGAAUCUGAUGGUAAUGUGGUUGAAAAAGAUAAAAUGUUGCAUGAAAAGAUCUCGGAACUCAUUGACGAAAUAUGCAGCGUGAGCUGAGUUGAUAAGGAGAAACAAGGAGAAGUGUGAAACAAUUGAGUGGCUUUUGUCCCAUGUGCAUAAGCUAACGGAUGAGAACAAAAUUUUGAAAAUUCAUCUGGGAAUCCAUAAGGAUACUACUGAUCAUACAAUUCCAAUCCAUAAGAAUGCUACUGAACAUACAAUUACAAGGCAAAACAAGCCUCAGUUUUCAAGGUCUAAGUCCACGGGGCCAUCUUUCCUUGGAAGGCUCACUGGAUGCACUGGCACCUGAUCUUAAUUAGCAACUUUUCAACUUAAUUAGAAAUGGAACUGAAUGCUUCGUUAUUUUGAUCUUGCAUCUGAAGCCGAGUCUGGAUUAAGAGAAAGAUCUCAUGGCAGGAAUCAUGGACUUGAGGAAGGUGAGGUUAACGAAGUGUGCUUUAGCACCAAGAUUGAGUUUUGUUUUUUUACGAUUUUUCUAUAAUCUAGAUGCUGAAAUACUUGGAGUUGGAAUUAAUAAGAAUCGAUUGAAACAUGGAUUUUUUAUUAGAUUGGUAUGGCUGACAUAGUAGUUUAAGAUGCACUGCAGUGAUUAGGGAAUUUCUUUAACUGAACAUAUUUGUUUUCAUGAGGUAGGUAGAAUCCUCUGUAAUUUAAUUAAUUAGAUUGAAAUUUGGAGCCAUGUCUGGAGUCUUACACUAUGGUGGUUAAUGUGGUUUUUAGGUGAUUUUUUCAAGUGGGGAAAAAGAGG